AUCCAUAAAAGCAAAAAGUUUACUUCUCUCUCUGAUGUUUCAUUUUCUACAGAACGCAAGAAAAAAAAUAAAAGGGGGAUUCCCUUUUCUCUGCUAGGGUUCCAGGCUUAGCCUUGGAACCCCGCCGCCAUCCCUCUUCUCCACUUCUCUGACCUUGCCUCUGCCAUUUACAAAUCAAACUAAAAAAAACCUAAAUAAUCUCCUUCUGCAUGCGUCGCAUAAAAAAAACGAAAGCCCCC
rnacentral:lncRNA from 1 species